CUACGGGUGGCAGCAGUGGGGAAUAUUGGACAAUGGGAGGGAGCCGGGGCGAGGAAUGCCGCGUGAGUGGAGCCGGCCUUAGGGUUGUAAAACUCUUUCUCCCGGGAAGAUAAGGAGGGGAGAGAGGAAAGAAGUCCCGGCUAACUCCGUGCCAGCAGCCGCGGUAAUACGGAGGGGACUAGCGUUGUUCGGAAUUACUGGGCGUAAAGAGUUCGUAGGCGGACUGACAAGUUAGAGGUGAAAUCCCAGGGCUCAACCCUGGAACUGCCUUUAAAACUGUCAGUCUAGAGACCGGAAGAGGUUAGGGGAAUACCUAGUGUAGAGGUGACAUUCGUAGAUAUUAGGUGGAACACCAGUGGCGAAGGCGCCUAACUGGUCCGGUACUGACGCUGAGGAACGAAAGCGUGGGGAGCAAACAGGAUUAGAUACCCGCGUAGUC
rnacentral:rRNA from 1 species